UUGGCCACCUGGCUCUGAGAACUGAAUUCCAUAGGCUGUGAGCUCUAGCAGACGCCCUAGGGACUCAGUUCUGGUGCCCGGCUGUGCUAU
rnacentral:pre_miRNA from 1 species